GCCAGGCAUGGUGGCACAUGCCUGUAAUCCCAGUGGCUCAGGAGGCUGAGGCAAGAGGCUAGCUAGUUGAAAACCAGUCUCAGCAACUUACUGAAGCCCUCAGCAACUUAUGAGACCUUGUCUCAA
rnacentral:sRNA from 1 species